GACGAACGCUGGCGGCGUGCUUAACACAUGCAAGUCGAACGGAAAGGCCCUGCUGUUGUGGGGUGCUCGAGUGGCGAACGGGUGAGUAACACGUGAGUAACCUGACCUAGACUUUGGGAUAACUUCAGGAAACUGGGGCUAAUACCGGAUAGGAGCUCCUGCUGCAUGGUGGGGGUUGGAAAGUUUCGGCGGGUGGGUAUGGACUCGCGGCUUAUCAGCUUGUUGGUGGGGUAGUGGCUUACCAAGGCUUUGACGGGUAGCCGGCCUGAGAGGGUGACCGGCCACAGUGGGACUGGGAUGCGGCCAAGACUCCUACGGGAGGCAGCGGUGAGGAAUAGUGCACGAUGGGCGGAAGCCUGAUGCAGCAACGCCGCGUGCGGGAUGACGGCCUUCGGGUUGUAAACCGCUUUCGCCUGUGACGAAGCGUGAGUGACGGUAAUGGGUAAAGAAGCACCGGCUAACUACGUG
rnacentral:rRNA from 1 species